GAUGAACGCUGGCGGCGUGCCUAAUACAUGCAAGUCGAGCGAACAGACGAGGAGCUUGCUCCUCUGACGUUAGCGGCGGACGGGUGAGUAACACGUGGAUAACCUACCUAUAAGACUGGGAUAACUUCGGGAAACCGGAGCUAAUACCGGAUAAUAUAUUGAACCGCAUGGUUCAAUAGUGAAAGACGGUUUUGCUGUCACUUAUAGAUGGAUCCGCGCCGCAUUAGCUAGUUGGUAAGGUAACGGCUUACCAAGGCAACGAUGCGUAGACGACCUGAGAGGGUGAUCGCCCACACUGGAACUGAGACACGGUCCAGACUCCUACGGGAGGCAGCAGUAGGGAAUCUUCCGCAAUGGGCGAAAGCCUGACGGAGCAACGCCGCGUGAGUGAUGAAGGUCUUCGGAUCGUAAAACUCUGUUAUUAGGGAAGAACAAAUGUGUAAGUAACUAUGCACGUCUUGACGGUACCUGAUCAGAAAGCCACGGCUAACUACGUG
rnacentral:rRNA from 1 species